GACGAACGCUGGCGGCGUGCUUAACACAUGCAAGUCGAACGAAGUGGCGAACGGGUGAGUAAUACGUGAGUAACUGCCCUCCUUUUUGGGAUAAGCCUUGGAAACGGGGUCUAAUACCGAAUAAAGGCGGAUGGGCUCGCGGCCUAUCAGCUCGUUGGUGGGGUGAUGGCCUACCAAGGCGGUGACGGGUAGCCGGCCUGAGAGGGAACCGGCCACAUGGGGCGUAGGUACGUCCCAAACGCCUACGGGAGGCAGCAGUGGGAAAUAUUGCACAAUGGUGGAAACCCUGAUGCAGCAACGCCGCGUGCGGGAUGACGGCCUUCGGGUUGUGAACCGCUUUCAGCCAUGACGCGGUAGUGGCAGAAUAAGCACCGGCUAACUACGUGCCAGCAGCCGCGGUAAUAC
rnacentral:rRNA from 1 species